rnacentral:lncRNA from 1 species
CCAGGUUGUUGAAUAACUUGAGGAAAGUUUAUUCAGAGGGGACGGCAGGUCCCUUUUAAAGCAAAAUUACAUCAUAAGCAUUGUCAGAGAUAACAUGAAAUAAUACAUCAAUAAUUGGUUAAGUGUUAAGUGUCUUAUUCAAAGCACGUCCUACAGGGUGUGCCUUCUUAUGUCAUUACUGUCGUCAUGGAGUUCUCCCCCAGGAUUCCAGCGCCAUCUUGAAAAUUAGAGUGUUUGGUCGAUGGGUGGGGUACUCCUGAGUGACAUCUAGUGGUCAGUUUAGUAAUUUAUUGAAUAAUAUUAAGUAUAACUAAAUGAAGUAAAUAGACAUUUUACUAGCUAAAAAUAUGUCAAUAUUUCAUGUCACCAGGUCCAUGAGGG